rnacentral:rRNA from 1 species
UACGUAGGGUGCAAGCGUUGUCCGGAAUUAUUGGGCGUAAAGAGCUCGUAGGCGGUCUGUCGCGUCGGAUGUGAAAACCCGGGGCUUAACCCCGGGCCUGCAUUCGAUACGGGCAGACUCGAGUGUGGUAGGGGAGACUGGAACUCCUGGUGUAGCGGUGAAAUGCGCAGAUAUCAGGAAGAACACCGGUGGCGAAGGCGGGUCUCUGGGCCACUACUGACGCUGAGGAGCGAAAGCGUGGGGAGCGAACAGGAUUAGAAACCCCAGUAGUCC